GAAGUGGCCUGGAACAUGGCAGCCAUCCUUUAGACGACGAGGACGACUUCAGAGGGCAGGAGAGGCUGGCGUUUUCCCCACCAGAACGGCAGAUCUCUCAUCACUGAAAACCUAAGCUUUUGAACCAAGGUGGAAAAGGGGAGAAUCCCUUUCUUUCAUCUCCACUGCUUGCCGCUCUCUCUUUACGCCAUUUAGAUGCGAGGAUCACCACAAAAUGGUAUAUUGCUUCUCCCCCCAACCUCAGCUUAUUUCGACCACAAGAGUGAAUCUUGACAUGCCUGAGACAAUGGAUAAGACAGACAAAAGGAGAUGGCCAUCUGAGGCUGAGUGGGAGACCCUUGGGAACAAUUCUGGAUGUGUAUGGACAGCUGGCACUGGCAUGACCCAAUAAAUGUGUUCCCCCAUAUGUGAAAGCCAAUGCCAGGUUGAGUUAUUCAAACCUACGGUAAAAAGUAACAGAAUGAUCCAGAGCGACCCUAGAAUGAUUGUGGACAACAUCAGAGUUUAGAUUAACUUUAGAUACAAAGCAGACUAAUGG